rnacentral:rRNA from 1 species
AGAACGAACGCUGGCGGCGCGCUUAACACAUGCAAGUCGAGCGGGGGUUCUAGCUUCGGUUAGUGCCCCAGCGGCGGACGGGUGAGUAACGCGUGGGAACCUGCCCUGGAGUUCGGGAUAACAGCGGGAAACUGCUGCUAACACCGGAUACGCCCUGAUCAGCGAUGGUGAGGGGAAAGUUUACGCUCUGGGAUGGGCCCGCGUCCGAUUAGCUAGUUGGUGGGGUAACGGCCUACCAAGGCUCCGAUCGGUAAC